rnacentral:rRNA from 1 species
CCUACGGGUGGCAGCAGUGAGGAAUAUUGGUCAAUGGUCGGGAGACUGAACCAGCCAAGCCGCGUGAGGGAUGAAGGUACAGAGUAUCGUAAACCUCUUUUGUCAGGGAACAAAGGCGGGGACGCGUCCCCGGAUGAGUGUACCUGAAGCAAAAGCAUCGGCUAACUCCGUGCCAGCAGCCGCGGUAAUACGGAGGAUGCGAGCGUUAUCCGGAUUUAUGGGGUUUAAAGGGUGAGAGAGCGGUCUGUUAAGUCAGCGGUCAAAGCCCGGGGCUCAACCCCGGCCCGCCGUUGAAACUGGCAGUCUCGAGUGGGAGAGAAGUAUGCGGAAUGCGCGGUGUAGCGGUGAAAUGCAUAGAUAUCGCGCAGAACGCCGAUGGCGAAGGCAGCAUGCCGGCUCCACACUGACGCUGAGGCACGAAAGCGUGGGUAUCGAACAGGAUUAGAUACCCCUGUAGUC